UACAGAGGGUGCAAGCGUUGUUCGGAAUUACUGGGCGUAAAGCGUGCGCAGGCGGUUCUAUAAGACAGAUGUGAAAUCCCCGGGCUCAACCUGGGAACUGCAUUUGUGACUGUAGAGCUGGAGUGCGGCAGAGGGGGAUGGAAUUCCGCGUGUAGCAGUGAAAUGCGUAGAUAUGCGGAGGAACACCGAUGGCGAAGGCAAUCCCCUGGGCCUGCACUGACGCUCAUGCGCGAAAGCGUGGGGAGCAAACAGG
rnacentral:rRNA from 1 species